CUUCUACCAGAGACAGAGUUCUUCUGUGUGGCAGGGAAGAUGGCUUUGCAGCUCUGCCUGAGUCAAGAAACUCAAACUUGGAACAUUCCCUGUGGACAGGGGAAUGGUGUGCCACGAUGGGCCAGAUCAAGUGCUGACUCCUGCAGCCAGAGGGCAGGUCGGACAAAUGUCACAGACUUUAGAGCCAAAGGUUUAGGGCAAAUUCUCACCUCUGCGACUUACAGGUUCAUUCCAUUCCUGGUGGAAUUGGGAGGAGGAGUUUUGCAGCCAUAUCAUUUGAAGGAUCAUGAUUUCCCACCUAGGGUUGGACAGGAGCAUUCAGUGCCCUGGGGAUGUCUAUCUAUUUCAUUCCUUUGGUGUAUCCUUCUUUUAGUAGGUUUAUAUCAAACAGAUAGGCUUACAGAUGGCCAUCAAUGCUUCAACUGGGAGAACCUUGCAUUGGACACCAACAGAACUGCCUGCUUCCAGAGAGAACUUAUUACACUAAUAUACUGUAUUUCCUUAGGAUAGGAUACUUUGCUUUUUACCUAGUUUUUAUUAAAUAACAGAAGCCAAAA
rnacentral:lncRNA from 12 species